rnacentral:rRNA from 1 species
AUACGGAGGGUGCAAGCGUUACUCGGAAUCACUGGGCGUAAAGCGCGCGCAGGCGGUCUUUUAAGUUGGAUGUGAAAGCCUACGGCUCAACCGUAGAACUGCAUCCAAAACUAUUAGACUAGAGUGUGGGAGAGGAAGAUGGAAUUAGUUGUGUAGGGGUAAAAUCCGUAGAGAUAACUAGGAAUACCAAAAGCGAAGGCAAUCUUCUGGAACACUUCUGACGCUGAGGCGCGAAAGCGUGGGGAGCAAACAGGAUUAGAAACCCUAGUAGUCC